UACGUAGGGGGCGAGCGUUGUCCGGAUUCAUUGGGCGUAAAGCGCGCGUAGGCGGCUCCGCAAGUCGGCCGUGAAAUCUCCGGGCUCAACUCGGAGGGGUCGGGCGAGACUGCGGGGCUCGAGGUGGGCAGAGGGCAGUGGAAUUCCGGGUGUAGUGGUGGAAUGCGUAGAGAGUCCGGAGGAACCCCAGAGGCGAAGGCGGCGUCCUGGGUAGAUACUGACGCUGAGGUGCGAAAGCGUGGGGAGCAAACAGG
rnacentral:rRNA from 1 species